CUACGAUUUACUUCUGGGAUCUGUUGCCGCGUUUUAUGUGCUCAUGGUGCCCUACACUAAAUUGAAGAAAGCUUCAACAUUCAGGCUAUGCAUGAUAUUCUUUAUCAUCGGCAUCGUUUAGAUAACUAUGAUCAUUUGGAGUUUCCAGGUGUUGUUCCUCGCACUUUUAUCGGGGCAUUGCUUGUGUCAAUUUUCGCAUCUCCAAUUGUAUUAGCAGUGCAACUGCUGAAGUUGCUAAAGAUUUAUA